ensembl:lncRNA
CAAAGUACAAAAGAAUGUGAAGCCAAAAGAAGAGGACAGAACUUAUAUGUCACUGAGCGGUAGAACUGUCAGCUCUUCAGAGUAUGAUGUCAUUAACACAGCUCCAAAGAGUCAGUGACGCUGACCUUGAAAAUGAUCCAGUAUAUAAGAUUUUUUUCUUAAGAUUCCAAGAAGAUGUAAUGCAUUUUUGGAAUAAACUAUCUAAUCGUCUGAAUGCCUUGUAGUGACAGAAAGUCACAGGAUCAAGACCAGCACGGUGAGAGAGUGGAAGCCAAAGCUUAACAAGAGCAAUUUGGCAUGCAGAUGAGGGGAAGCCAGGAAUUGAACCACCAACCUUCUGAUCAGUUGAUGACCUGCUCUACCUCCUGAGCCACAGCCACCACUGCCAUCAUAAUCAUUAUUUAGAAUGACAUAAACCGCAAAUCAAAAAAUAUAUGUGAGUGUAAGAAGAUGUAGAGAGGGUUUUUGUCAGGUUUUAUGAAGGUUUUUUUUAUUUUACAUCGUCAGAAAUCCAGUUUUUCUUUUGGACACUUUUGAGGGAGAUUUUGAUAACAAUGUGUCUGUAUGUAAUUAUUUGUUCAUGUAUUACUACAAAAAAUUGUACACAUUUCACACGCUGCUGAUGUGAUGCCUCUUGUACAGCGGGAAGCCAUCAAAACCUUUCUCCAUUUCACGACGAAAGAUGCCGGCCACAAAGGACAGAAUGAAGCUGGAACAGCUUAAUAUCAAAGAAACAUUGUAUGGAUGAGCAAAUGGUGCCAUUUAAGGGCAAGAGCAAAUUCAAGAAGUAUCGACCCAGUAAAUCAAGAAAACGCGGUUUCUAAAUAUUAUUUCUUGAAAUAACACUGCGAAUUGUACGAGCAGCUUUCCUUCUUGGAGGCUCUGGGGGGUCCUUGGAGGCACCGCACUCCUCCACCUGCUGCCCGCCUGCACCCGAACCUCCGCAGGGGAGAGUGGACGUCUCUAGCCGAUCUUCGGCCGUUUAGUCUUCCGCCUCACCCCUCGCCGCUCCCCCGCCUGCCUCCUCAUCAACCAUGUGUCCCAUCACCUCCGCUUGUUCACAGAGGAGGCAGUCCUGGUGGCCGGCCUCCAGAUCAGCUCUGUCCCCGCUGCUGACCACUUGCCCGCCCUCCUGAACUGUUUCGUCUUUGCAGCUGGCUAUGCGGCCUCCCUCCUAAACUUUUCUUCUGAUUCUCACAACAUGAGAAUCAAUAUAACAUGAUAUUGGACAUUUCCAAUCUAAGCCUGUAUCAAGUCACAUAUGUCAAUAUGGUUUUAAAUUUUUUUUUCAAUUCUUCACAAUUCGGGAAGAUUUCCAGAUGUUUUUAUUGCUUUCUAAUAGUUGUGUAAUGGUGUCUGAGUUAAUCAUUUUCUCUGUCGUUUUAUACUAUUGUUGCACAACAAAUAUCUUGGAUUAUAUCUGAAAUAUAUUUAUUUUUAGGCAAUAAAAUGGCCCAAAAUGAGUCAUAAUAUGAUGUUGAUCUACCAUCAAAACGUGUACGGUAGGGUGUUAAAUCAUUUUACAAAAGUGCUUUGUUAAGACAGUGAGUUCAUGUGGCUUCAACACAUUACAUAAUUUUACAUAUUGUUUGACUUUUUGAC